rnacentral:rRNA from 1 species
GAGCGCAGCUUACCAUGCAGUCGAGGGGUAACAGAGGUAGCUUGCUACUUGCUGACGACCGGCGCACGGGUGCGUAACGCGUAUAGAAUCUACCUUAUACUGGGGGAUAGCCUUUGGAAACGAAGAUUAAUACCCCAUAGUAUGUUUGAAUGGCAUCAUUUGGACAUUAAAGUUUCGGCGGUAUAAGAUGACUAUGCGUUCUAUUAGUUUGUUGGUAAGGUAACGGCUUACCAAGACUACGAUAGAUAGGGGUCCUGAGAGGGAGAUCCCCCACACUGGUACUGAGACACGGACCAGACUCCUACGGGAGGCAGCAGUGAGGAAUAUUGGACAAUGGAGGCAACUCUGAUCCCAGCC